AAUGUGGUUAAUGAUGCUCAACUUUUUUCCCCAUCUUACCGACUGUGGUGAAACCAGUCUGAAAAAUAAGCCAAUUACUCUGAAACCACAUU
ensembl:snoRNA small nucleolar SNORD12/SNORD106